rnacentral:rRNA from 1 species
UACGAAGGGGGCUAGCGUUGCUCGGAAUCACUGGGCGUAAAGGGUGCGUAGGCGGGUCUUUUAAGUCAGAGGUGAAAUCCUGGAGCUCAACUCCAGAACUGCCUUUGAUACUGAGGAUCUUGAGUAUGGGAGAGGUGAGUGGAACUGCGAGUGUAGAGGUGAAAUUCGUAGAUAUUCGCAAGAACACCAGUGGCGAAGGCGGCUCACUGGCCCAUUACUGACGCUGAGGCACGAAAGCGUGGGGAGCAAACAGG